AGUGAACGCUGGCGGUAGGCCUAACACAUGCAAGUCGAACGGCAGCACAGUAAGAGCUUGCUCUUACGGGUGGCGAGUGGCGGACGGUUGAGGAAUACCUCGGAAGCUACUUUUGCUUGGGGGAUAACGUGGGGACAAUUACGCUAAUACCGCAUACGACCUACGGGUGAAAUCAGGGGAUCUUAGGACCUUGCGCGAUUCAAGGACGCGAUGGCGGAUUAGCUAGUUGGCGGGGUAAAGGCCCACCAAGGCGACGAUCCGUAGCUGGUCUGAGAGGAUGAUCAGCCACACUGGAACUGAGACACGGUCCAGACUCCUACGGGAGGCAGCAGUGGGGAAUAUUGGACAAUGGGCGCAAGCCUGAUCCAGCCAUACCGCGUGGGUGAAGAAGGCCUUCGGGUUGUAAAGCCCUUUUGUUGGGAAAGAAAAGCAGCAGGUUAAUACCCCGCUGUUCUGACGGUACCCAAAGAAUAAGCACCGGCUAACUUCGUG
rnacentral:rRNA from 1 species